AUGCAGUGGACCCUAGCGGUGCUUCUAGCUUUCCUGUCUCCUGCCAGUCAGAAAUCUUCCAACUUGGAAGGGAGAACGAAGUCAGUCAUCAGGCAGACUGGGUCAUCUGCUGAAAUCACUUGUGAUCUUGCUGAAGGAAGUACCGGCUACAUCCACUGGUACCUACACCAGGAGGGGAAGGCCCCACAGCGUCUUCUGUACUAUGACUCCUACACCUCCAGGGUUGUGUUGGAAUCAGGAAUCAGUCCAGGGAAGUAUGAUACAUACGGAAGCACAAGGAAGAACUUGAGAUUGAUACUGCGAAAUCUAAUUGAAAAUGACUCUGGGGUCUAUUACUGUGCCACCUGGGACGGGCACAGUGAUUCAGAUCUGCCCUACACCACACUGAAAAUCUGCCUUGUGGCUGCUUCUGGUACACAAAAUUGAGCCGCCCCCUCUCAUUUCCUGCCACCAAAUCUACCGUGUGCUGAACAAGAGAAACAUUGCUUAACUCCUGAUCUC